AAUUGUUAGGCUGUUAUAGUGAUCCAGAAGAGAGCUAAGGAGGCAGUCUGAAGAGAGGCUAUACCAAAGAGGAUAGGGAGGAUGGCAGAAAUGUUAAGAAAGUAUACGGCUCAUAUAGAUUCUAUGGUUUUAGGAAUUCAUCCAUUUCUUCUAGGUUAUCCAAUUUGUUAGCAAGUUCAUGGCAAUCUCGUAAGAUCCUUGGUAUAUCUGUAGUAUCAUGUAUAAUGUCUCUGCUUUAUUUUCUAAUUUUAUUUUAGCCUUCUCUCAUUUCUUAGUUUAGAUCAAGGUUUGUUGAUUUUAUCUUAAAAACCAACUGUUAGUUUUGUUCUUUUCUGUUGUUUUUCUAGUUUGUGUUUAUUUCUGCUCUGAUCUUUAUUAUUUCCUUCCUCCUACUAACUUUGGCCUUAAUUUAUUCUUCUCUUUCUAGUUCCCUAAGAUAUAAAGUUAGAUGGUUCACAGUCUUUCUUCUUUUUCGAUAUAGGUGUUUAUUGCUAUUAUCUUCCUCUUGGGACUGCUUUGGCUGCUACCCGCAAGUUUUGGCAUGUGGUGUUUCCAUUUUCAUUUGUCUCAAGACAAUUUUUAAUGUCCCUUUUACUUUUGUCUUUGACCCACUGGUUGUACAGGAGAAUUUGGUUUAAUUUUCUUUUGUAGCUUAAUGUAUGAUCUAUUCUGCAGAAAGCUCUGUGUGAGCUUGAAAAUAAUGUGUAUUCUGUUGCUAUUGGAUGAAAUGUUCUGUAUAUAUGUUAGAUCCAUUUGUCUAAACUGUGGCUCAAUUCCAACAUUUCCAUAUUGAUUUUCUGUCUGCAUGAUCUGUACAUUGUUGAAAAUGGGUAUUGAGGUACCCUACCAUUAUUGUAUUGCAGUUUAUCUCUUCAGAUCUUUAUAUCUUUGCUUUAUAUAUUUAGGUGCUCUGAUGCUGAGUGCAUAUAUAUUUAUAAUUGUUAUAUCCUCUUGAAUUGAUCCCUUUAUCAUUAUACAAUGACCUUUGUCUCCUUGUAUACAUUACUUAAAAUCUAUUUUACCUAAGUAUAGCUAUCCCAGUUCUUUUGGUUUCCAUUUGCAUGGAAUACAUUUUCCAUUCCUUUACCUCCAAUCUAUGUGUCUUUUUUUUUCUUUUCUUUUUUUUUUUUUUUUUUUUUGAGACAGAGUCUCACUCUGUUGCCAGGCUGGAGUCCGGUGGCGUGAUCUCAGCUCACUGCAACCUCCACCUCCCUGCCUCAGCCUCCUGAGUAGCUGGGACUACAGGCAUGUGCCACCACACCCAGCUAUUUUUUGUAUUUUUAGUAGAGACGAGGUUUCACCAUGUUGGCCAGGAUGGUCUCGAUCUCUUGACCUCGUGAUCCACCCGCCUCGGCCUUCCAAAGUGCUGGGAUUACAGGCGUGAGCCACCACACCUGGCCCAAUCUAUGUGUCUUUAAUGGUGAAAUGAGCGUCUUGUAUUCAGCCUAAAAUCAGGUCCUUAAAAAAUUCAUUCAGUCCUUCAAAAGAAUAGUGAUGUCUUUAGUUUGGAGAAUUUAAUCCAAUGAUAUUCAAGGUGAUUACUGAUAGGUAAGAAUUUACUACAGCCAUUUUGUUGUUUACCAGUUGUUUUGAUAAAUCCUUUGUUCCUUUCUCAUCUCUUGCUGUUCUCCUUUGUGAUUAGAUGAUUUUUUUUGCGUGACAUGCUUUGAUUCCUUUUUUUUUUUUUUAAUCAUUUGUGUAUCUACUAUAGGUUUUUGCUUUGUGGUUACCAUGGGACUUACAUAAAAUAACAGCAAUGACAGGCUAUAUUUUAAGCUAAUAACUAAACUUGAUCAUAUAGAAACACUACCAUUUUUGUAGUUUUAUGUUUUUGAUGCCACAAUUUAAAUCUCUUUAUAUUGUAUAUUACUUAGAAAGUAUUGUGGUUAUAAUUAUAAAAGUUUUGUCUUUUAAUCUUCUUACUAAAGAGAUGUGAUUUACACACCACCAUUACAAUAUCUGAGUAUUCUGUAUUUAUCUAUGUACUUGCUUUUACCAGUGAGUUUUAUACUUCAUAUGUUUUCAUGUUACUAAUUUAGUGUCCUUUAUUUUCAGCUUGAAUAAUUCCCUUUAGCAUUUAUUAGUUUCAGGCAGGUCUAGUGGUAAUGAACUCCCUCAGCUUUUGUUUGUCUGAGAAAAUCUUUCUCUGUCUUUGGUUUCUGAAGGACAGCUUUGCCAGGUGAAAUAUUCUUGGUUGGCAGUUUUUUUCUUCAGCACAUUGAAUAUAUCAUCCCACCCUUUCCUGGCCUGUAAGGUCUGUCCUGGGAAAUCUGCAGAUAGUCUUAUUGAUAUUGUUCUUAAUGUAAUGUGCUUCUUUGCUCUUGCUGUUUUCAGAAUCCUGUCUUGAAGUUUGAUUAUAUGUCUUCAUAUAAUUUAGAUUGAAUCUUAUUGGAGACCUCUGACCUUUUCAUAAUAGUGUGUAUUUAUAUCUUUCCCCAGAUUUGGGAGGCUUUCAGCUAUUAUUUUUUUCAAAUCAGGUUUUGAAAAACCCUCAUCCUUAUUUCUAUAAUACAUUUGUUAGCUCUUUUGAUGAUGUCUCAUAAAUCCUGUAGUCUUUCUUCAUUCCAUUAUUUUUUCUCCUUUGACCAUAUUAUUUUGAAAUAGAGUUCACACAUAUUUUUUUCUCCUGCUUGAUUAGUUCUGCCAUUCUCCUUUUUGCAUUUUUCAUUUCAUUCAUUGUAUUCUUUAGCCCCAAAAUUUGUUUGGUUCUUUUAGUGAUUUCAACCUGUUAAAUUUAUCGUUUUGUUGAUUUAUUGUUUCCCUGAUUUCAUAGAACUGAUUCUCUGUAUUUUCUUGAAGUUCACUGAGAUUCCUUAAAACAAUUACUUUAAAUUAUCUGUAAGGCAGUGUAUAGUCUCUAUUUAUUUGCAGCUUCUAGGAAAUUAUUGUUCUUUUGGUGGUAAUAUGUCUCCUUGAUUUUUCAUGUUUCUUGCUGCCCUGUUGAUGUCUGUGCAUUUGGUGGGGGUAGCCAUCUCUUUCAGAUUUUAUGCACUGGUUUCAGUGGGGAAAGGCUUUCCCCUAUGGGAGGGUGCUAGGCCCCUGGCUGGGUGAGGUGCAGUGGUUCUGGUUCCAGAUAGGACACAGCAGUAUAGUCUCCAUGGAGUUCUGUCAGCUGAGGUCAAAGUGACAAAGAUUGCAGGGAUCCUCAGCAGCCAGUACUGUGAAUGUCCACAGCAGAGGUGAGGGCUAUUGGGAUUGUCAGUGGCAAUGGCUGCUAGGUUCUCCCAAUCUCUUAUUCUCCCACCAAUGAAUCUUUCGACAAUGGGAUCUCUUUUGGCACAAGGUCUGGCUUGUGGGCCUGCUCACGGUGGCAGUGGUACAGGUGUCUGAUGAGUGGCAUGUAAAGCAGCCAUGGAGCCAAGUCUUGAAGUAUGAGCAUGAGCAGAGGGACUAUGGCUCUGGGAUCCAAGGCAUUAAUGGCAUUGGUGCUGGGAUGAAGGCACCCCCACUUGCAUGUUGGUGCUUAUGAAGUAAUGGGUAAGCCAGGGAACCUGGGACAGGACUAUGGGCAUGAAUAGAGCUACAGUGGCUGCAGGGUUAGGGAUGCCAGCUAGCUCUCUAUGGCAGCUAAGUUUGUACCCAGAGCAUAGGCAUGCAUGGAGAGACCUUGGCUCUGGGACCCACACAUGAUCUAGCUUGCUAUGGUUCUGGUGUAUGAGACAUGGGUACACAGAAUAAACCCUCAGAGAAGGGGUCAGGAAUGUGGGCACUUGUGGAACAGCCACAGCUCAGAGGUUGGAGGCAUGCACAGGGAUGGGAAAUGUGGCAGCUCCAGUCCCAGAAUAGCACAAGAGCAACU
rnacentral:lncRNA from 1 species